rnacentral:rRNA from 1 species
GAUGAACGCUAGCGACAGGCCUAACACAUGCAAGUCGAGGGGCAGCGAAGAGGUAGCAAUACCUCUGUCGGCGACCGGCGCACGGGUGAGUAACACGUAUGCAAUCCACCUGUAACAGGGGGAUAACCCGGAGAAAUCCGGACUAAUACCCCAUAAUAUGGGCGCUCCGCAUGGAGGGCUCAUUAAAGAAAGCAAUUUUGGUUACAGACGAGCAUGCGCUCCAUUAGCCAGUUGGCGGGGUAACGGCCCACCAAAGCGACGAUGGAUAGGGGUUCUGAGAGGAAGGUCCCCCACAUUGGAACUGAGACACGGUCCAAACUCCUACGGGAGGCAGCAGUGAGGAAUAUUGGUCAAUGGACGAGAGUCUGAACCAGCCAAGUAGCGUGCAGGAAGACGGCCCUAUGGGUUGUAAACUGCUUUUAUAAGGGAAUAAAGUGAGUCUCGUGAGACUUUUUGCAUGUACCUUAUGAAUAAGGACCGGCUAAUUCCGUGCCAGCAGCCG